GUGGGGAAUAUUGGACAAUGGGCGAAAGCCUGAUCCAGCCAUGCCGCGUGUGUGAAGAAGGUCUUCGGAUUGUAAAGCACUUUAAGUUGGGAGGAAGGGUAGUAACCUAAUACGUUGCUACUUUGACGUUACCGACAGAAUAAGUACCGGCUAACUUCGUGCCAGCAGCCGCGGUAAUACGAAGGGUGCAAGCGUUAAUCGGAAUUACUGGGCGUAAAGCGCGCGUAGGUGGUUCAGUAAGUUGGAAGUGAAAUCCCCGGGCUCAACCUGGGAACUGCUUUCAAAACUGCUGAGCUAGAGUACGGUAGAGGGUGGUGGAAUUUCCUGUGUAGCGGUGAAAUGCGUAGAUAUAGGAAGGAACACCAGUGGCGAAGGCGACCACCUGGACUGAUACUGACACUGAGGUGCGAAAGCGUGGGGAGCAAACAGGAUUAGAAACCCUUGUAGUCC
rnacentral:rRNA from 1 species